UCAAGGUGCUCUUAGGACGUGUCCAUCAUGUCUCUGGCGUACCGCAUGUUUGCCUCGUGUCACAAGCUCCCUUUGGUAAGUGGGCGGCCACGGGCUCCACGCAGUAGCUCUCGGUCACGUGGUUGAGGCCACACAUCCUUUCCCUAAUGAGAAUAGAGGAUUCGAGAGGAGGAGCUCAAGCCCGCCCGAGCUUCUUCUGCCGCCUCAGACACCACGCGACCCCGUUGGCCGUCUCCCAAGUCGCCUGCCGACCUCCGCCUCCUCUCCUUAUUCUCCCGUCUCUCUUCUCCCGUAUGUGACAUUUCUCUCCCGUGCAGCUUCCACCUCCCUGCAGAUCCACAAUUUGUCGGCCGGAGGGAACGGGGCAGAGCCUCCAGCAUCGCUGGGAGCAAUGGCCGAUGCCCGGCGGCACUGAGGUGGCGCAUCACAGUAUGAAGCACCGCUCCCGAUCCGUAGGGAUUUGGGUUUGAUUUCCGUCUAUGGCUUCGAUCCAGGGAUUUGGCUUCGGUCAGGAGACUUGGGUCAAAGGCAAGCCCACCGAAGUCAGCUCCAAUCCAGUCUUCUAAGAAGGGGUGUGGGAACUAGGGCUUGCUCAAGGUGCUAUCAUUUUUUUUGCUUUGACCAUGAGAACACAAAGAACAGAAGGCUGGUGCUUGCUGCUUUCAAGGGGAUACAUACCUGAUACCUCUGUUGUGGCAGCAGCCCUCUGCUUCUGCUACCCGUUGGCGCCGCUGCCUCCCGCUUCUACCCUCUGCUGCUGCUGCUUGUCAUUGCUCCUUGCCACGAGCUCAAUGGCGUACAUGUAGGACCUCCCCUGCCCGUGCGUCCUCUCCGACCCGUGUGCAUCCUCCUCGUUCCAGCGUAGCAACAACAGCUCCUCCAGGCCACCCUGCCUCUCUUCCUUCUCCCUUUCUACUUCCUCCCCUCGUUCUUCUUCUUCUCUCUAACACACACCAAUUCACUCUUUCUCUGUUACCUACAGGAGGCCGACGCCGAACUGCAAGCAGCUGCCGCCUGGAGGUUCUCUGCCACCGGAGCCCUCCUCCUCGCCCACGUCGCCUGCGUCCAUCCUCGUCGGAUCCGAUGCUGCAGGGACUCCCUGCGCCUCCGCCGCCUCGCCAAGUCCGUCUGUUGAAGCCGCUUCUGUCCGCUGACUGCUCGAUCCCCUGCCUCGACCACGUCCGUGUGCGUGCGCAAGGGAUGCAAGGCCUAGCAACGCUUCUCGGCGUCCAUGUGCGGUGGCAGGUAGAGGUCGGCGCCGGCGAGCAGGCAGUGGAGCGCAUCGACGGAGCCAUGGUGGAGGUCAUGGGCGCCGAGCUGCUCCACCCACCUCGCGCCGACUCGUGGCUGCUGGCCGACGAGCACAGGGGAGCUCGGGUUCUUGGGAAUGGAGACACACCUAUAGGGGUCCGGCGAUGCUGGAGGCGGAGGAGAGGGGCGGGCACCUUCCGCACCGACGAGCUCGUCAACGAGAGGAGCCUCCCCCUUUCCACCUUCUCUGCCGCUGGAUAAGAUGAACAAAGGAAUGCGGGCGAAAUUGUUACAAAAUGCAGGGAUUAAUUUGCAAAAAUGAAUCGUUUUGCUAGAUCCACUUACUUAGGGACUGCGGGUUCUAUUAUCUAAAACCAUAGGGACUUUUUUGCAGAACUGUCGCGACGACGGACGGCAGAAACCGAAUUUUCUUUAUUAUUAAAAUUAGGUUAUAGGUUAUUAGGUAAAGAUAAAGACUAGCAAAAUAAGUUUGACUCAAUACCCUGAUAUAUGAGCGUUCUCUAUUUUAACACAGUGACUUGCGAUGUUGCGAACAUGUUUUAUAAUUUGCGAACAGUUUUGUAAAUUCUAAUAUUUAUUGAAACUGCAAAAAUUUUAUGAUUUCACACACAUUUCUGAAUUCACAAACAUUUUAUGAUUUCUCAAACAUGUUUUUUAAAAUUUGCAAUGUUUUGGAAUUUGAAAAUAUCAAAUUAAUUUAAAAAAGGAGAAAACAAAAAAAGAAAUGAGAAAAUAAAAGAAAAAUACAAAAGAUGAAAUGAAAAAAAUAGGGGAGUCACGCCCUGCGUGCCGGCCAUGAACACGCACUGGGGGAGGGGAGGUGCAUCACAAAAAGAGGGGAAAUAUUUGCAGAACUUGAGGAUAAAGAAUUACACUCUAGCCAAAUAAGUAUGACUCAAUACCCUGACACAUGUGAUAUCCACGUGAUUGCAAUGUAGUUGACAUAGUAAAUUCCAAGGCAAUGAGCUUGCCAUUGCACGACACAUUUUUAAACUUUUAAAACAAAUCUCAUCGACCACAAACUUGCAAUUUUUUUGAGUUUUUCAAUAUUUUCUAAAAUUUCGUGGACAUUUUUGUCAUAUUCAUGAAUUUGUUUUGAAUACAUGAUUAUUUUUCAAAAUCAUGAACAUAGUUUUAUUUCCUGUCAUUUUUUUCGAAAUUUUGAUUUUUUAAGAAUUUGCAAACACUCUUCUAAAAUCA